ACUAAGCAAAACCUAAUAUCACAAAUCCCUUAAAGAACAAAGCAGAUGCCUUUUCUCCCUGUCCACCUGAAACUCUUCUUCCUGGAGGGUUAUGGGAGGAUUCAUACAUGCUUUCACCGACAAACUACUUUUACAUUAGACAACAAAUGGAGGUACCCUGCGGCAGUGGUGAUGGGAAAGGAUUUGAAUCAGUCAACCUGACACCAGAGUCACUGCUUCUUCCACUGAUUCUAAGAUGGUCCUAUUCUCACCCUCUACAGAAGGCAAAGCUUGAAAAAGGAAAACCCAGAUGUUCAUGUAAAAAAAAAAAACAACAAGAAAAGCAGAAAAAUGGCAAGUACCCUCUCUUAACACACUAUCUUACCUGCUCCUUAUGUAUUACUAACAUGGCUUCUCUGAAUAGUGUGUAUCAAGAAAAGAAAAUGUGUUUUCAGGGUUUACCAUCAAAUCAAAUCACAAAUUUAAUUUCCAACAAGCUCAAGGAAUAGAAAGUUCUGCUUACUAAAAAAAAAGGUAGCAAAAAACAUAUACUUACAUAUAGAUAAUGCAUUAUGAAAUUAUAUGUAAGGCAUGUUUUCUUUAUUUAUUUAGAAAAUCACUUUCAAUGAAGUACUAUUAUUUAAUUGUCAGUUGCAUUAUGGAACAAAACAAAUGUUUCAAUACACUUUUCUGGGCCCCUUUAUAAAACGUUGUCUAAAUAUCCCACUUUGCUUUUGGUGGUAAGACCUAGACCAAUUUAUUUGGAUUUCUGUCUUUCUAAAAUGACUAUGUAAUUUUGAUAUUAUAUAUUCAAAUUAAUAUUUUUUCUUCUUUUUGUAAUGCUGAAAAAGUAACAUUAAAAAAUCUUUUAUUAAUUUUUCAGCACUUUGGGAAAUGGUGGAAAUCAACAGGCAAAUGAUUUUAAGUGCUUGUUUUGGGUUAUUGAUGUUUAUUAAGGAAAAUAAAUCAUACUUAGUAAAUGUCUUAAAAAAGACAACACAGCUCUUGAAAGAAGAGUCCAGCUAUUCAGUUUUAUAAUUUAAGUUAUUGUAGAGGAAUGUGGUAGGGACUAAUAAAGUAUGUUUCUAUUGUUUAAUAAGUUCCCCAGACACAUUCAAAGUAUAGAUUUUACAGGUAUAAAUUUAUCUCACUUUGCUCUAUGGGAUUGUUAGGGUCUUAAAUAUGGGUUGUUCUAUAUUUAAACACUCCACUAAAUAUUUCAAUAUUAUGGGUGGGUAAAUUAAAAGAUUUUUUUUGCAAAAUUUUUAGCUCCUAAAGUAGAGAACUAUAUAAAGAAUUAAAAACAAAACCAAAGCAUAAAACAAAUAUAAACCCCAUCAAAGCCCAUAAGGUAAUACCUCUCACCUGAACACCUUUAAUAAUUCAUGGCCAAUGUGGACCUAUCUUUUGUAGUUGCCCUCCCUCCUUUGAAUCCCUCAUUUCUCAUAUUCUUUUUAAUGCGGUAGCUUUUACACCGGAAAAAAGUCUAUUCUUUAAGACAGUGCCCAGUAUUUCAAGUCUUCUCCCUAAAGACUUGGAAAUACCCAUGAUUUCAGAAAAAGAGAUCAGAGAUCACUUCCCAAAGUAUUAACCAGACCAGUAAUUUCGGUAGAACACUUUUCUCCCCUAAAAUAGCUGGGAGGCAGUGCACUUUAGUAGGAAAACACUAGGCUAGUUGUCAAGGGACAUGAGCUCUCAUUUCAGGUCAAGAAUAAUAGAAUUUGUGUCUUUGUCUCAAUACUUUUUUUUUUCUAUUUUUACCCUCAUGGGCUUUAUUGGUAGAGUAUAUUUCCAGCUUGUUAAAAUAGAUUUGAAAAUGGUUUAGUAGAAAUAUCCCUAAGUAGUACAGCUUGCACAUAGAUUAAUUUGAACACAUAGAUGCUGAGAGUUUUAAUUUUGUCGUGAUUAAUUUUUGGGCUUUCAGAAUAACUAUUUUUUACUGCUCUGAGGCAUUCAUUUCAGGCUUAGACUAAUCAGCCAUGGACAUAUGAGGGCUGUGAUUGACAACUAAGCAUUUUUAUUUGCAAAGGAUUAAAAUGCAUUCUUUGUUAGUUAAGUAAAAAAGGAAUUUAUUAAUAGGACAUUUAGAAAAUCACUCAACUGAUAGAGAUAUUGAAGAGAAAGUUCAGAAGAGGGGCAAUAGUAUAGGGAUGCAAAAGUCAUGCCACGACACCAGUCCACUGAGGAAACCAGUGCCACCAAGGGAGACUAAAACCAUAGGUUACUCCAUUGUCACUGCUUUUCCUGGAAACUGGAUAUUUCCUGGGAACUGCUGCUUCCUUCUAAAUCCAUUCUUUCUGCUUUUCUCAUCACUGCCUCCUAAUUUAGAGUCUUGCACAGACACAGACAAGUAUCUGAGUCUGAGUGAUGCUUGAAGGCCUCUUGCUGAAAUUAUGAUACCUGAAACCUAGGAAGCUGACAUUUUUUGUCAAAAAAGGAGCAGUACUGUUGCAUGAUUACCAUUUGAAAACCCAUUGUGUCUUUAAUUAUGGGCUGCUAGUGACACGUUAGGGUCCAAACUAUUAAGGUAUUGGCAUGAUAGUAGUUUUUAAGGCACUGAAUGGCAUUUACAUGUAUAAUUUACAUGUAUAAUUUAUAUAAUUAACAUCAAGAAAAUGUAUAAAUAUGUAAGUUCUAUAAAUCAAUUUAUUAUAGGAUAUAAAACAGGAAUGAUACAUUUUUAGCUCAAUAAAGGUAACAAUUCCAUAAGCUAUAUCAUUUUUAGAAGAGAAAAUGCUGUUCACCCAUUUUCCACUUUGAAUAGAAAAGAAUGUUAUUUGUUAUUCUAUCUUCCUCCUUCAUUAAUAUUUGUCCUAAUAACAAAUAAUUUUAAUUGAUACUAGGGUUAAAUAUUAAAAAAAAGAUGUCUUACUCUAUGCAUUCUGAGUAUAAUUCUACCGUAUUCAUUUGGUGAUGAAAUAUAUUUUUGUCAAAAUUUAUUUACCACUGGUGGCUUUUAAUCAUCAGAUCAUGACACAUGUUGAGCAUAAGUAAAACCUGAAUUGUGACAUACGGCUAAUGGUACUUCUCUAAUAAAUAACAUGGCAUCUUUUCUACAGUGAAGUACUAAGGAAAGAAAUGGAGGGCUGAGGAACAGGGAGAGCAUUGAAGGUUUCAAUAAGGAUGAAAGGGAUUCUUUGUCUUCCCAUACACAAGAGAAAAGAAAGAGAUACAGAAAGAAUUAUGGACAAGGAUUAAAAAAAAUGACUUUUUCUCUUGAAAAAGAUAGUGCGAGUGAGGAUGGUGCCCUGGUCAGAAAUAGGAUAGAUGAGUAGCUGUUUGUAAUCUUUAUUUUCCUGGAUAUAUGUAAGUAAAGAAAACCAGCCAAAGACAUAGCACCAUUGCUAGAAGGGGAGAAAAUGGAAAAUAAUGAUUCCUCAAGUAUUGAGGCAAAAAAAAGUCCUGAUAUUCUGAUUUUAUAUCAAGAGUCCUAGGAAAGAUGAGAGACUAUAAAGAGGAGUAAGUUCUCACUGAGGUCACUUCUGCCCCACUAGGGAAUUAGAGUGCCAACGGAUUAGGUAAAUGGAUUCUGUAGGAUGGAGUUACUUACAAUUUUUCACUGUCCAGAUACACAGUUGAUAUUACCUUAGAUAUUAAUUAUAUAGGUUUUCUGUUACUUAGAAUUUUAAUAUGCUUUUACAACAACAAAAACAAGGCUCACUGCAUUAGCAGCCCUUUCCAGAAAGGCUGAGAAAAAGGAAGUAAGAAAACAAAGCAGUGGGAAUUCCACAAAAUUAAUUUACUAGAUUGUUUAUCAGAACUUUUAAGGAUGAUGUUGUGACAUCACAACAUAUAAUUUUAUAGGUUAAGAGGACACCUCAAGUUGAAGUUGAAGUUCAUUCACAACCUAAAAAUAGUGAAUGAAAGGUAAUAAAACAUGACAUCUGUUAUCAAAGACCAGGACUUCCCCAGAUAGGAAAGCAAAGAUAAUGAAAGUAGAACAGGUGAACUACUGGAACCAGAAUUAGGCCUUAACAAUGCACUUGAUAUGUCACAAGCUGCAGAGGUAUGUUUUCUUGUGUUCUGCAGUUGAGUAAUACUUUUAUUUCCCUGGUAUUCUUAGGCAGCCAUUAUUGGUGGCAUUCAAACUGUCAUUACCAAUGGGUUUUAGUGAAGUUUUUACCUUCAGGGAGCUGUCACUAAAAACCAGACCAGAUAAAAGAUAUAUUAAGUGAUGUGAAUUUCCUUUUUAUUUCUAUUAGUGUUUAUGUUAGACUCAAUCCAGUAUCAUUUGGUUGACUACAGAGCCUAAAACCACUCAGAUCUGAACCCUUCAAAUUCCCAUCAUCAGUAGCUUUUUAUUGCUCCAUUGAAAGAUGUUGUUGUUAACAGGUUUUGCCCUUGACCAAAGUGAUACACCAAUUCAGCAUUUCAAGUCUGUAGACUGUAUUUGAAAUCUUCUUCAACCAAUUAACAAAACAGAGAAUUUCAUUCUAUCUAAUAUUGUUUGACAUUGUUCCUUUUUCUCACUCUGAAAAAAAAAAUUAAAACAGGAACAAAUUUAAACCCCAAACAAAAUUAGAUGGCCAAGUUGAAUUACUGCAUUUUAGAGGGGACCACAAUUGUACUGAAGUAUGACAUGUAAAAGACAGUUUAGAGUUCAAGUAAUGUGUUUCAAAAUGACCAAAGCUAUGUAAUCCCCACUCAGGUCAAAAUACAGACCAUGCAGAUUAAUUUGAUUUCUACCAUCAUAAGAUUAAUCUUAAACUUAAUUUAAGUGCAAUUAUACCAAAUGUUCACUUUGA